AAGCAUGGAUAGGCGAGGGUGGAAUAUAACCGGGGACAAGUGAAGGAUGGGAUUUACUUACCAAUACACCUUUAUGUCAGCUUUCAAGGGAGGAUGCAGGUCCUAAGUGUUUGGUACCCUGGUGAAACCCACCAACAUUAAAAUGGUGCUUACAAACCAAGAAUCUUAUGGCAAUCUAGGAUUCAAACCCAUGACUCCAGGAUCUUCACUUGCCUAAAGGAUGCAGGUUUACAAAGUGGAUUGUGGUGCCUGAGACAAGUGGGCUGAACUACUGAACUGUGAACUACUUUAGCACACCUUUAAGACAGGGCCUCCGGGUUGAUGCGGGAGUACUCCUCUUUGGUGACACUCAUGUAGAAACAGUAGUCCGUCUUCUUCAGGAUGUGUUUGGGGCCAGGGUUGAGCAGCAGCUUGGGCUCCUUCUCUGUCGGAUCCAGGACAGCCAGCAGAGCUACGCCAAACCUGAGGGAGACAGGCCAACUUAUAUAUAGUACGACAUGUUAAAUACCCUCAAAAAGACACUGGUUUCCAUGGCGUAUUUUAAAAAAAUGUCUGUGCUAUAAUUCCACAACUUUACUAAUUUGUAGAGUGUUCUGAUACAAAACAGCUUGUAGUAAGUGUAAAUGAACAUUCUUACAACAGACUGGCAUGUAGCAGGGAAGGUUGUUUUUUUUUUGUCUUUUUUGGUGUGUCUCAGGGACCGUGACCCUUGUUAUCUUACUUGAUAUGUGAAUGAUGAAUUGUGGUUUUAACAAUCUAAAAUUACUGGUCCACUUAA